rnacentral:rRNA from 1 species
GGUGGGGUAACGGCUCACCAAGGCGACGAUCGGUAGGUGGUCUGAGAGGACGAUCACCCAGACUGGGACUGAGACACGGCCCAGACUCCUACGGGAGGCAGCAGUCGGGAAUUUUGCUCAAUGGGCGAAAGCCUGAAGCAGCAACGCCGCGUGAGGGAUGACGGCCUUCGGGUUGUAAACCUCUUUUCUCAGGGACGAUAAUGACGGUACCUGAGGAAUAAGCCACGGCUAACUACGUGCCAGCAGCCGCGGUAAUACGUAGGUGGCGAGCGUUAUCCGGAUUUACUGGGCGUAAAGAGCGCGCAGGCGGUCGUGCAAGUCGGAUGUGAAAGCCCCCGGCUCAACUGGGGAAAGUCAUUCGAUACUGCUCGACUUGAAGGCGGGAGAGGGAAGCGGAAUUCCCGGUGUAGUGGUGAAAUACGUAGAUAUCGGGAGGAACACCAGUGGCGAAGGCGGCUUCCUGGCUCGUUCUAGACGCUGAGGCGCGAAAGCUAGGUGAGCAAACGGGCUUAGAUACCCUGGCAUCC